CAUACCUUAAUCGCUCGUUUUUUAUUUUCUUUUUUACACCUUAUUCCCGGAGGCGGCCCUGACGUGUAAAAACGAAAAUGAAAAUUGCCAAGCCUCCCACCAGGGAGGCUUUUUUGUC
rfam:Shewanella algae strain BrY contig_71_1, whole genome shotgun sequence.